UACGUAGGGGGCAAGCGUUGUCCGGAUUUACUGGGCGUAAAGAGCGUGUAGGCGGCCAAACAGGUCCGUUGUGAAAACUGGAGGCUCAACCUCCAGACGUCGACGGAAACCGUAUGGCUAGAGUCCGGAAGAGGAGAGUGGAAUUCCUGGUGUAGCGGUGAAAUGCGCAGAUAUCAGGAAGAACACCAAUGGCGAAGGCAGCUCUCUGGGACGGUACUGACGCUGAGACGCGAAAAGCGUGGGGAGCGAACAGG
rnacentral:rRNA from 1 species